GUGGGGAAUAUUGGGCAAUGGGCGAAAGCCUGACCCAGCAACGCCGCGUGAAGGAAGAAGGCCCUCGGGUUGUAAACUUCUUUUAAGAGGGACGAAAGAAAUGACGGUACCUCUUGAAUAAGCCACGGCUAACUACGUGCCAGCAGCCGCGGUAAUACGUAGGUGGCGAGCGUUAUCCGGAUUUACUGGGUGUAAAGGGCGUGUAGGCGGGAGUGCAAGUCAGAUGUGAAAAUUAUGGGCUCAACCCAUAACCUGCAUUUGAAACUGUUCUUCUUGAGUGAUGGAGAGGCAGGCGGAAUUCCGUGUGUAGCGGUGAAAUGCGUAGAUAUACGGAGGAACACCAGUGGCGAAGGCGGCCUGCUGGACAUUAACUGACGCUGAGGCGCGAAAGCGUGGGGAGCAAACAGGAUUAGAUACCCGGGUAGUCC
rnacentral:rRNA from 1 species